rnacentral:misc_RNA from 1 species
AACGCAUAUUGCACCUGUUGGCUUUGCCGACAGGUAUGCCUGUUUGAGUAUCAUUUAUUACCGAUUUGGCAUUUAUUUAUUUUAUCUUAUUUGUCAGUUUUGGGCUUUCAUCAAUCACUGUUCGCCCCGAAUGUGUCGACUGUGUGUCACAAAUGAUGUUUUGUUAUGUUGUUUGCGACGCCAUUCUUUUUUUUUCCACAUGAUCUCAAAUCAGGCAGGAUUACCCGCCGAACUUAA